GGUUGAUUUUCUGCAACAAAACUGGCAGCAAAUUGCAGCAAUUUUAGUUGUCCACCUGCAUAUCUGUACCAAAACAACCCAAAGAGCUUCCAACACAAUAUUUACAUAUACAUUAAACUAGAUCAAAAUAAACUUCAUCCAACUUCAAAAUAAACUUCAUUUAACUUCAAAAUAAACUUCAGUCAACUUCAAAAUAAACUAAAAUACAAUCAAACAAUUAUGAAAAUAUAGAAGUCUAAAAUGUAAAAUAGAUACAACUAAUCAUCACCCUCACUCUCCUUAUUAGACUUAUCAUUCUCACCACCCUCCAGAUCAAAUUCAUCACUGUUGGCCGAACAUGGAAGAAGAUUUUUCCUGAUUCAAAAAGAAGAGUUAGUUGGGCCUGAGAAAUAUUAUUGUCAGAUUUGAUAUUUAACAAUCUAACUGCAACAGACAAUUUAGAGUGUUGACUCUCGUUGAACAAAGGAUGACUACUAUCACGCAAUUCUUUAUAAAAGAUGUUUG
rnacentral:lncRNA from 1 species